rnacentral:rRNA from 1 species
AUUGAACGCUGGCGGCAGGCCUAACACAUGCAAGUCGAACGGUAACAGGAAGCAGCUUGCUGCUUUGCUGACGAGUGGCGGACGGGUGAGUAAUGUCUGGGAAACUGCCCGAUGGAGGGGGAUAACUACUGGAAACGGUAGCUAAUACCGCAUAACGUCGCAAGACCAAAGAGGGGGACCUUAGGGCCUCUUGCCAUCAGAUGUGCCCAGAUGGGAUUAGCUAGUAGGUGGGGUAACGGCUCACCUAGGCGACGAUCCCUAGCUGGUCUGAGAGGAUGACCAGCCACACUGGAACUGAGACACGGUCCAGACUCCUACGGGAGGCAGCAGUGGGGAAUAUUGCACAAUGGGCGCAAGCCUGAUGCAGCCAUGCCGCGUGUAUGAAGAAGGCCUUCGGGCUGUAAAGUACUUUCAGCGGGGAGGAAGGGAGUAAAGUUAAUAGCUUUGCUAAUUGACGUUACCCGCAGAAGAAGCACCGGCUAACUCCGUG